AAGUGGGUCCUUACGCAAUAAAGCUUUAUGAACGGGUCAGGUCUUGACGGAAGCAGCCAUAAGUAAAAUACUUUAUGUGCCGUGAGAUUGCUUAUUUAGAG
rnacentral:SRP_RNA from 1 species